rnacentral:rRNA from 1 species
AAAUUGAAGAGUUUGAUCAUGGCUCAGAUUGAACGCUGGCGGCAGGCCUAACACAUGCAAGUCGAACGGUAACAGGAAGCAGCUUGCUGCUUUGCUGACGAGUGGCGGACGGGUGAGUAAUGUCUGGGAAACUGCCUGAUGGAGGGGGAUAACUACUGGAAACGGUGGCUAAUACCGCAUAACGUCGCAAGACCAAAGAGGGGGACCUUCGGGCCUCUUGCCAUCAGAUGUGCCCAGAUGGGAUUAGCUUGUUGGUGAGGUAACUGCUCACCAAGGCGAC